rnacentral:rRNA from 1 species
CAGGACGAACGCUGGCGGCGUGCCUAAUACAUGCAAGUCGAGCGAAUCUGAGGGAGCUUGCUCCCAAAGAUUAGCGGCGGACGGGUGAGUAACACGUGGGCAACCUGCCUGUAAGACUGGGAUAACUUCGGGAAACCGGAGCUAAUACCGGAUAAUCCCUUUCCUCACAUGAGGAAAGGCUGAAAGACGGUUUCGGCUGUCACUUACAGAUGGGCCCGCGGCGCAUUAGCUAGUUGGUGAGGUAACGGCUCACCAAGGCCACGAUGCGUAGCCGACCUGAGAGGGUGAUCGGCCACACUGGGACUGAGACACGGCCCAGACUCCUACGGGAGGCAGCAGUAGGGAAUCUUCCGCAAUGGACGAAAGUCUGACGGAGCAACGCCGCGUGAGUGAUGAAGGUUUUCGGAUCGUAAAACUCUGUUGUUAGGGAAGAACAAGUAUCGGAGUAACUGCCGGUACCUUGACGGUACCUAACCAGAAAGCCACGGCUAACUACGUGCCAGCAGCCGCGGUAAUACGUAGGUGGCAAGCGUUGUCCGGAAUUAUUGGGCGUAAAGCGCGCGCAGGUGGUUCCUUAAGUCUGAUGUGAAAGCCCACGGCUCAACCGUGGAGGGUCAUUGGAAACUGGGGAACUUGAGUGCAGAAGAGGAAAGUGGAAUUCCAAGUGUAGCGGUGAAAUGCGUAGAGAUUUGGAGGAACACCAGUGGCGAAGGCGACUUUCUGGUCUGUAACUGACACUGAGGCGCGAAAGCGUGGGGAGCGAACAGGAUUAGAUACCCUGGUAGUCCACGCCGUAAACGAUGAGUGCUAAGUGUUAGAGGGUUUCCGCCCUUUAGUGCUGCAGCAAACGCAUNAAGCACUCCGCCUGGGGAGUACGACCGCAAGGUUGAAACUCAAAGGAAUUGACGGGGGCCCGCACAAGCGGUGGAGCAUGUGGUUUAAUUCGAAGCAACGCGAAGAACCUUACCAGGUCUUGACAUCCUCUGACAAUCCUAGAGAUAGGACGUUCCCCUUCGGGGGACAGAGUGACAGGUGGUGCAUGGUUGUCGUCAGCUCGUGUCGUGAGAUGUUGGGUUAAGUCCCGCAACGAGCGCAACCCUUGAUCUUAGUUGCCAGCAUUCAGUUGGGCACUCUAAGGUGACUGCCGGUGACAAACCGGAGGAAGGUGGGGAUGACGUCAAAUCAUCAUGCCCCUUAUGACCUGGGCUACACACGUGCUACAAUGGAUGGUACAAAGGGCUGCAAGACCGCGAGGUUUAGCCAAUCCCAUAAAACCAUUCUCAGUUCGGAUUGCAGGCUGCAACUCGCCUGCAUGAAGCCGGAAUCGCUAGUAAUCGCGGAUCAGCAUGCCGCGGUGAAUACGUUCCCGGGCCUUGUACACACCGCCCGUCACACCACGAGAGUUUGUAACACCCGAAGUCGGUGGGGUAACCUUUGGAGCCAGCCGCCUAAGGUGGACAGAUGAUG